rnacentral:snoRNA from 1 species
GCCCUCUCAGGGUCGCACCUGGAGAGUUUCCAGGACUCUACCAGUCUCGGCUAUGGGAGGGAGAGUCAAGCAGAGGCAUAUCCAAUUCCAAUCCUAGCUUGGGCAGUGGCUAGCCAGUGGAAGGCAAUCUGCUACGAGU